rnacentral:rRNA from 1 species
ACAGAGGCCCCAAGCAUUAUCCGGAUUCACUGGGCGUAAAGGGUGCGUAGGCGGUGUUAUUAGUCGGGUGUUAAAUCCUGGGGCUCAACCUCAGAAUCGCAUUCGAAACGGUAAUACUAGAAGAAGUCAGAGGUAAACAGAACUCUCGGUGUAGGGGUGAAAUCCGUUGAUAUCGAGGGGAAUACCAAAUGCGAAGGCAGUUUACUGGGACUUUCUUGACGCUGAGGCACGAAAGCGUGGGUAGCGAAUCGG